rnacentral:rRNA from 1 species
GAUGAACGCUGGCGGCGUGCCUAAUACAUGCAAGUCGAGCGAACGGAUAAGGAGCUUGCCCCUUUUACGUUAGCGGCGGACGGGUGAGUAACACGUGGGUAACCUACCUAUAAGACUGGGAUCAGGUCGGGAAACCGGAUCUAACACCCGAUAACAGUGAGAACCGCAUGGUUCUUAAGAGAAAGAUGUAUCUGCUAUCACUUAUAGAUGUACCCGCGCCGUAUUAGCUAGUUGGUACGGUAACGGCUUACCAAGGCGACGAUACGUAGCCGAUCUGAGAGGGUGAUCAGUCACACUGGAACUGAGACACGGUCCAGACUCCUACGGGAGGCAGCAGUGGGGAAUCUUCCGCAAUGGGCGAAAGCCUGACGGAGCCACGCCGCGUGAGUGAUGAAGGGCUUCGGAUCGUAAAGCUCUGUUAUUUGGGAGGAACAGCAGUAAGUGUAUAUCUUGCCGUCUUGACGGUACCAACAGAAAAAGCAACGGCUAACUACGUG